rnacentral:lncRNA from 1 species
UGUCCAAGGUCUUGUGUGGUUACUUGUCUUUUCGUGUUGUAGCAGGUCUUGUAUUGUACUCUGAGGUCAUAUUUUUACGGAUUUGUUGAUGUUUCAAUUAGAAAGGGUGGGCUUUCUCUUUACGUUUUCUGCCAGGGUAGAUUCGUUCUACUGUCCGACGUUUUGCUGGUUGUUAUUGUAUUGCAGUACGGAGUGUGGAGGAGAGAUUGUCGCUGCAGCCCAACGCUACACCGUGUGUUUUUUGAGUAUUGAAUAACUUCUAUUCUGGAUUCCGAAAG